GAGCUUAAUCAACAUGUCUGUUUCAUCUCCAUACAGUUCUAUUUUGUUUCCAUGUGUCUGUGUGAUCAUCUAAUUUUUCUUAUACGUGGCUUCCAUUCUUGAGCUUUAUCCCUAUAAGCUUUCACGAAGAUCUCUACAGAUAAAGUCCAACUGCAACCCAGAUAGAACAACCCCUCCAUGUAAUACUCUUAAGCUGUGCAAAUCAAAAUUCUCAGAGCUGGCUUUUACAAGGCAUGCAUAAGUGAAGUUAUCAGGCUUUCAGAAUGAAGCACAUCAUUAAACAGCGAAAAUGCAUUUCUAAAUUUGUGGGCUCUAGCAUAACCUCAAAUUAAGGAGUUCCAGAGGUAAAUGGUUCGGUGCGGAGUUUUAUCAAAAAGUUUGUGUGCCGAGAUGACGUCGUUGUUUAGAGCAUUAAGUGUGAAGGUACUUUUGCUGGAAUUAACACCAUUUGACUUCCCCUAAAGUUCUAAGGGUAUCUCCAUACCUUCAAAAUUCACAACCAAGAAUUGGAGUUGGAUGGGGUGGAUGGAGCAUUAACCAAACAUUUUUGAAACCUCCCAUGAACAUAUGAAAGGCGUUAAGACAGCCAAAGGUAUCAUUGCUGAAAAUAUUGAUUCAGGAAGACAUUGAUCCCUUUGUAGUUAUAUACGACCUGUUGAUAAAUGGGUGUUGUUUGCUAGGAUGUAUGCAUGAAACAAAAGAAAUAUGUUUCCAUUAUCAAAGGAAGAAAGUAGCCUACAUAGUUAUGAGUUUGUAAGUAGCCUAUGUAGUUAUGAGUUUGUAAGUACUCUUUACAUGUAAGAUGAAGCUAUUUCCUAGCUCAGUGCAAAUCAUAUAUGAACUUGCUACAAAACUGAACAAAGCAUAGAGAUGAAAUAAUUGUGGUUGUGAA